rnacentral:misc_RNA from 1 species
GAUGAAGAACGCAGCGAAAUGCGAUAAGUAAUGUGAAUUGCAGAAUUCCGUGAAUCAUCGAAUCUUUGAACGCACAUUGCGCACUCUGGUAUUCCGGGGGGCAUGCCUGUCCGAGCGUCAUUUGCAACCCUCAAGCCCGGCUUGUGUGAUGGGUGCCGUCCCCUACGGGACGCGCCCCGAAGGCAAUGGCGGCGUCGCGGUUAUCCGAUCAGCCAAAGUGUAUGGGGCUUUGUCACUCACUUUACGGCCCGGACCGGCGCCAGUCCGAAUCAAUCUUUUUUCUAAAGUUGACCUCGGAUCAGGUAGGGAUACCCGCUGAACUUAAGCAUAUCAAUAAGCGGAGGA